GACGAACGCUGGCGGCGUGCUUAACACAUGCAAGUCGAACGGAAAGGCCUCUUUCGGGGGGUACUCGAGUGGCGAACGGGUGAGUAACACGUGAGUAACCUGCCCUUGACUUUGGGAUAACUUCAGGAAACUGUGGCUAAUACCGGAUAGGAGCUCCUGCUGCAUGGUGGGGGUUGGAAAGUUUCGGCGGUUGGGGAUGGACUCGCGGCUUAUCAGCUUGUUGGUGGGGUAGUGGCUUACCAAGGCUUUGACGGGUAGCCGGCCUGGGAGGGUGACCGGCCAAAUUGGGACUGAGAUACGGCCCAGACUCCUACGGGAAGCAGCAGGGGGGAAUAUUGCACAAUGGGUGGAAGCCUGAUGCAGCAACGCCGUGUGCGGGAUGACGGCCUUCGGGUUGUAAACCGCUUUCGCUCAUGACGAAGCUUUGUGUGACGGUAGUGGGUAAAGAAGCACCGGCUAACUACGUG
rnacentral:rRNA from 1 species